AGUGGCGCACGGGUGAGUAGCGCGUGGGUAAUCUACCCCUGAAUUGGGGAUAACCCCGCGAAAGCGGGGCUAAUACCGGAUGAAGUCGGAGGGUCUUCGGGUCUUCCGAUGAAAGGUGGCCACUCGAUCGAAGCUACCGUUUGGGGAUGAGCCCGCGUACCAUUAGCUAGUUGGUGGGGUAAAGGCCUACCAAGGCAACGAUGGUUAGCUGGUCUGAGAGGAUGAUCAGCCACACUGGAACUGACACACGGUCCAGACUCCUACGGGAGGCAGCAGUGAGGAAUUUUGCGCAAUGGGGGAAACCCUGACGCAGCAACGCCGCGUGGGUGAUGAAGGCCUUCGGGUCGUAAAGCCCUGUCAAGUGGGAAGAACCUGGCAUAUGCGAACAGUGUAUGUCACUGACGGUACCACUGAAGGAAGCACCGGCUAACUCCGUGCCAGCAGCCGCGGUAAUACGGAGGGUGCGAGCGUUAUUCGGAUUUAUUGGGCGUAAAGGGCGCGUAGGCGGUUUGGUAAGUCAGGUGUGAAAUCCCGGGGCUUAACCCCGGAAGUGCAUUUGAGACUGCCAGACUUGAGUAUGGGAGAGGGAAGUGGAAUUCCUGGUGUAGAGGUGAAAUUCGUAGAUAUCAGGAGGAACACCGGUGGCGAAGGCGGCUUCCUGGACCAAUACUGACGCUGAGGCGCGAAGGCGUGGGGAGCAAACAGGAUUAGAUACCCUGGUAGUCCACGCAGUAAACGAUGAUCACUAGGUGUAGCGGGUAUUGACCCCUGCUGUGCCGAAGCAAACGCAUUAA
rnacentral:rRNA from 1 species